rnacentral:rRNA from 1 species
GACGAACGCUGGCGGCGUGCCUAACACAUGCAAGUCGAGCGGGAUCCAUCCAGUGGCAACACUGGGGAAGAUCUAGCGGCGAACGGGUGAGUAACACGUGAGAAACUUGCCCCGGAGUUCGGGAUAACUCGAGGAAACUCGAGCUAAUACCGAAUGCCCUCUUCUGAUCGCAUGGUCGGAUGAGGAAAGAUUUAUCGCUCCGGUAGAGUCUCGCGGCCUAUCAGCUAGUUGGCGGGGUAACGGCCCACCAAGGCAUCGACGGGUAGCUGGUCUGGGAGGACGAUCAGCCACACUGGGACUGAGACACGGCCAAGACUCCUACGGGAGGCAGCAGUGGGGAAUUUUGGGCAAUGGGCGAAAGCCUGAUCCAGCCAUGCCGCGUGCAGGAUGAAGGCCUUCGGGUUGUAAACUGCUUUUGUACGGAACGAAAAGACUCUUUCUAAUAAAGAGGGUCCAUGACGGUACCGUAAGAAUAAGCACCGGCUAACUACGUGCCAGCCGCCGCGAUAAUAC